rnacentral:rRNA from 1 species
UGGGGAAUAUUGGACAAUGGGCGCAAGCCUGAUCCAGCCAUGCCGCGUGUGUGAAGAAGGCCUUCGGGUUGUAAAGCACUUUCAGUGGGGAGGAAGGCUAAGUAGUUAAUACCUGCUUAGAUUGACGUUACCCACAGAAGAAGCACCGGCUAACUCCGUGCCAGCAGCCGCGGUAAUACGGAGGGUGCAAGCGUUAAUCGGAAUUACUGGGCGUAAAGCGCACGCAGGCGGUUUGUUAAGCUAGAUGUGAAAGCCCCGGGCUCAACCUGGGAUGGUCAUUUAGAACUGGCAGACUAGAGUCUUGGAGAGGGGAGUGGAAUUCCAGGUGUAGCGGUGAAAUGCGUAGAUAU